AGCUGUAGAGCUGGGGUCUUAUGAGAAAGCAGCACUAAACAUGGAGCUCCUGGAAAGCUGGGCUCUGCUCAGCCUCAAGGCUGUGACAGCAGCUCUCCCAGUGCGCUGGUGCCAUCAGGGCUGAGGGGCUCUGUUCCGGCUAGGUUAGGCUGAGAUACUCCAAAGUGGGAGAAGCUGAACCUUGGUGUGUCGUCAUCUCUUGGCUGUAGAACGAAGGAGAUGCAGAGGAAGCUUGAUUGAGACGGUAGCUAAUGUCCCUGUGUGUAUGUUGCUUCACUCUCAUCUAAUACUAAAACCUGCAGA